UACGUAGGGUGCGAGCGUGUCCGGAAUUAUUGGGCGUAAAGGGCUCGUAGGCGGUUUGUCGCGUCGGGAGUGAAAACCUCGGGGCUUAACUCGGGGGCUUGCUUUCGAUACGGGGCAGACUAGAGGUAUGCAGGGGGAGAACGAAUUCCUGGUGUAGCGGGUGAAAAUGCGCAGAUAUCAGGGAGGGAAACACCCGGGUGGGCGAAAGGGCGGGUUUCUCUGGGGCAUGAUCUGACGCUGAGGAGCGAAAAGUGUGGGGGAGCGAACAGG
rnacentral:rRNA from 1 species